AUGAAGGGCAUGUCUUGUUCAGCCGCAGGGCCAGCCAUGUCGCCACCGCAGCUUACGCCGCCGGCGAGCGAAGUGCCAAGAAAAGAGCCGCAGGGCCAAGGAAAGGAACCGCCACCGCUGAGCUUUUCUCCAUGGAUUAAACAGUCAGGCCAACAUCAACUCCUCGAGGUCGCCGGCGAGCUUCACGGUGCCAUGGACAGCCUACCGGAGGUGACUCACGCGGGGGACGAGUACAAGCCGGUACGGCGAGCAGCUGCAGCGCAGGAACUAGUGAUGGCCCGAUGGGAAAGAUGGGAUUCAGUUGAUUGCUUUGAGAUUCAAUAA
rnacentral:rRNA from 1 species